UAAUUUUCAUCUUGUAACAAAAUGUUAUAGGUGUUAUUAAGUGAUGGAAGUGGUUGUAUCAUCAAAAUGUUGCUCCUAACCCCAAAAUAUAUCUCAUUCAAACCCAUUAGAAAUUGGUGGACUAUGUCCUCUUCCUACUCUUUCAGAAGUUCUACUCUAGUAGGACAUGCACAAGCAUUUAUUUUAUUACUACGUAUUACCCUCUGUUCAUCUCAUAAUUGUUUAAGUUUGUUGAAAUGGGAAGCUAUGUCAAGAUCACCUUGCAUAGUGGAAGCAAUUUCUUUCUUUAUCUUAAAAUCUUUUGUCCCAUUAAUUGCCCCAUAUCUUUUAUUUAAUUG
rnacentral:lncRNA from 1 species